rnacentral:lncRNA from 1 species
CUCCCACCUUCUCCCCGCCCCUUUUCCCGGGUUGGUCCUCCCGCUAAUCAUUCUCUGUCCUCGCUUCCAACGUCGCUUUGGAGAAUUGGCAGUCAAGCCUCGCCAUCCCGCCUCCGGAAAGCGAACUUUAUUUUUAUUGGUGAAAGAACAUCUUCCUGUAUACCUGAUUGGGCAAGGAAGGAACUAGUCUGCACGCCCCCUACCAUUAUUACUCUCCCUUUACGGGCUUGGGAAACACAGCUGUAAAGUCCUCCCCACUUUGCUUUCUAGGAGCUCCUUUCCCUUUAAAUGUUGUUGGGGGUCGAGGACAAACUCAUAUCCUAUAUUGAAGAAAGCUGGAAAGGGACAAGAGAAAAAUUCAAAAUUUUCUCCCGAUGAGUAAUGCAUCCAGAGCUGGCGCUCGGAUCCUGCGGAACCUUAUCCUGUGGUCCAGUGAAUGGAAUGGUUAGAAUUGAGUUAGAAUACCUGAAAGUCCAGUGCUAAUUCUUCCUGAGAUUUACUCAACAAGUUUCGUCCACUGUCCGCUCUACUCAUACCAUUGAUUGCACUGGCAUUUUGCCACGCGAAAGAGCUUUAAUCAAGGUAUCUGAAAACCUGGAGGUUUCCUUGCUUGUCUAGUAAGUGUUCAUUUAGAAAAGCAUUUAAAUUAUUUCCAUUAUAAGUUCCGUUUAAGUCACGUCCUCUGUGACGUUCCGGCGUUUGCAUGAGACCUGUUACUUUUUUGAAAAAAUUAAGUAGAUGGUACCCUUAUGUCAUUCUCAAAGUGCAGGACUUCUUUCCCCACACCCCAGGUCAGUUGAACCCAAGUCGGUACCAUAAGGCUGAUUCUUGAACGACUGAGGUGCCUCUCGGGAGAAAACGCAUCUCUCAGAGGGAGUCUGAUACCAGAAGCUUCACCCUGGAGCGGAAACUCACUCAUUGAAAAGAGAAGAAAUUACGGGAAAGCCUAGUGUGGCGUCUGCAUUAGAAUUUCCCCAGGUUCCCAGGGAAGCUGCAAGAACCAAAAGUGACUUCCUUCCAAGGCAGGAACCAACAGUUGAGCAAUCCCAGUGGACGAAGUAUGCCUUUUGCCAAUACUUUCAGCUAAGAUCUCAGUGUGGACAACAGCCUAGCUUGAGACGUGAGCGCAUAGCUAGAACCAAGGAGUGGAAUCAGCCUCAACCUCACCACACUGACUGAAAGGGAAGAAUGCUUUGUUUUGCAAAAGAAAAUCAAGGCAUUGCUACCAAAAGAAGAGAGGCAUCUGGGAAGCUGCAACAAUGAGCAUUUGCUAUGGUACAUAUGGAUCUACUUAUGAUGUGAGCUAGACGUUUUUGGCAAUUGGAUUAUCGUUUGUUCAACUAUUAUUUUCAGAGAUUGGGUAUUGCUCUAUUGACCAGACUGGAGUACAGUGGUGUGACUGUAGCUCACUGCAAAUAAAUAUGGAGGAAGUGAUAGUGUGUGAUCUCUGACACUAGGUCAUACAGGGCAUUACAGCUUCCUCCUCUACUUCUCACAUCACUCACUCUGCAGAAGCCUGAUGCCUGAUCAUGAGGACACUCAACCAGCACGAAGGAGAGGAACUAAGGCCCCUGUCAGCAACUGUGUCAGUAAGCUGCCUUGGAAGUGGAUACUGUAGCCCCAAGAGAGCCUUCAGAUGAUUGCAAACCCAGUCUGCAUAUUCAUCACAGCCUUGUAAGAGAUCCUGAGGCAGAGCCACACAACACCUACUCCCAAAUUUCUGAGCCACAAAAACUGCCAGAUAAUAAACGUGUGUUGUUUUGAGCUGCUAAAUUUUGGGAUAAUUUAUUACACAACAAUGAAAACUAAUACAGGGACUAUACAGAUGGUAAGCAAUUUGAAACCUUGUUUGGUCAAUUCUAUAACUUACUUUGGGUAAAUGUGAAAAAAGACAUAAGAUUUAUGAUAUGGUAAUAAUCCCAGCUACUCAGGAGAGGAUCACUUGAGCCCAGGAGUUCAAGGCUGCCAUGAGCUUUGAUCGUGCCAUUGUACUCCACUCUGAGUGACAGAGCGAGACCCCCAUCUCUUAAAAAAAAAAAAUUAUCAGAAAUCUCUCUUGUCCUUUUUAUGAAAAUUUUUCUUUGUAUUCUAUAUUCCAGUCUGUUUAGUUAACAG